GCUGUGNGAGGAAUANUGGUGCAUUAGGCAUGNNGGGUUGGACCGNCUCGCCAAGGCGACGAUGCGUAGCCGACGUGAGAGGGUGAACGGCCACACUGGGACUGAGACACGGCCCAGACUCCUACGGGAGGCAGCAGUAGGGAAUCUUCCACAAUGGGCGCAAGCCUGAUGGAGCAACGCCGCGUGAGUGAGGAAGGCUUUCGGGUCGUAAAGCUCUGUUGCCAGGGAAGAAUAAGAGUGAGAGUAACUGCUCACUUGAUGACGGUACCUGAGAAGAAAGCCCCGGCUAACUACGUGCCAGCAGCCGCGGUAAUACGUAGGGGGCAAGCGUUGUCCGGAAUUAUUGGGCGUAAAGCGCGCGCAGGCGGUCUUUUAAGUCUGGUGUCUAAGUGCGGGGCUCAACCCCGUGUCGCACUGGAAACUGGGAGACUUGAGUGCAGAAGAGGAGAGCGGAAUUCCACGUGUAGCGGUGAAAUGCGUAGAGAUGUGGAGGAACACCAGUGGCGAAGGCGGNNNNNUGGACUGUAACNGAC
rnacentral:rRNA from 1 species